UGUGAGGGCUCGGGGCUGUAAGGACUUGGGGGUCUGUGAGGAGAGUGCGAGGGCUCGGGGGCCCUUGAGGGUUCUGGGACUGUGAGGGCUCAGGGGGUCCAGCCGUUGUGAGGAGGCCAUGAAGGUCCAUGGGGCUCUGAGGGGUUGGGAGGCUGUAAGGACUUGGGGGCUGUGAGGGCUUGGAGGUCUGUGAGGGAAUUGUGAGGGCCUGGGGGGCCAUGAGUGGUCUGGUGCUGUGAGGGCUCGGUGGGUCCAGCAUUUUGAGGGAGCCAUGAAGGUCCAUGGGGCUGUGAGGGCUCGGGGGGCUGUGAAAGGUUGUGGGGCCGUGAUGGCUCUUGGGCCAGGCUGAGCAGUUCAGUGCCAGCUCCCCUGUGCUGUGAGGGGAGUGCCCCUGUGAGGGGGUCUGUGUGAGAGGUGCUGGAAGGAGUCCAGGAACUCUUGGAGCAGCCCCGGAGACCCUGAGAGGAGCCCCAGAGCAUCAGGAACCUGAGAGGAUCCUGGGACAGACCUGUGUCAGCCUCAGAGGUGCCCAGGGAGACACACACAGCUCAUCCUUCACAUCUGAAACCAGAAUGCAGGAGGUUUAUGCAGUUUCCUUUGAGAUAGCUGAGUAAUGCAGAGCCAUUAGGGUCCAGAUUUAUCCACUAAUUACAGGCAUUGAUUGAAUAGCAAACUCUGGGCUGUCUUCACACUGGAAUCGGUGAAAGCGUUGCCUUGGCCCACCCCAGCUCAGCACCACUGACAACACAUUUCUGUUCUCUGUAAUGGUGUUUGAUGUGACCAAUUCCAAAAACUGCAGCAUCAUUUAAGUAUCAGAGGCAGCCAGGAUAAAUCUGGGCAGGACUUGCUCAAGAUUUCAUACAAGGCUGUACUAAUCAGUAAAGACAGCUUUUCCUCCAGGAUGUGAUGCCAUCUCUUCAGAGCAGUGCACAAAAGGAAUACAGUCUUCUUUCUGAUUAAAGGCAGGGAAUGUAGAAUGCCUUGCCUGUGUCGUGCUCUCCAGGAAAGUACAUUCAGCAUCAAUUCUCAUCAGGUGUGCUCAGCACAGCGUUCAUAAAUGUGUGCAUUCAGGAAGCCCUGGAAAACCCUCCCUAAAAUGGAGCAGGGGAGCCACUGCAGGGCUCGGAUGAUGUUUCCUGGUGCAGGUGCUGCUGGAUUUAAUGCAGAUACAGUUGGGGUUUUUUUCUGCCAGGGCCAGAAAGCAAAGGCCUGCACAUCAGUGCCAUCUAUUUCCUCACUUCCUUAGCAAUCCUGAGCCUUUGUGCUUCCCACAGCCUGUGCCUCAGCCAGUGCUGCCUUUCAUGUUUGGGAAGCUGCUCUGUAAUGUGUGGAGUGAGCAAUGUUUGUCACCCCAAGCAUUCCCAGAGGCAGUGUGAGAGUGGGAACGCUCUGCUCAGUUAAGGCUCCAAUACCUGUCUCCAGAACACCAGCAGGAUCUCUCCUGCAGAGAGGGGUAGGACCCUGUGGAUGGUUAAAUUUUGAGCUUCCACAGGUUUCCCUGGGAGAUUCAGCCACCUGAAUAUCUGUGGGAUAGGAGACAUUUCCAAUUAUUUGUGCAACAUUUAUUUUUGCUAAUUCUAGCCCAGCCAGUGAGUACUUCUGUUCUUAGCUACGUGCACAUCCACAGGAAAUGACAAUUCUAUCUUAAAUUUUUUUGCAUUUAAAAAAAAAAUGCCAGUACUUUUAAGCUCUCUGUGAGAAGGAACACAGGAGUCUGAGCCAGGAAUCUCCACAGAGAGCUGCUGGAGCUGCCGACCAUCUCAGCCCUGUGACUUCUAACACUGUAGCACCAAUUAGCGCGUGCCAGAAGGUGAGCUGGCAAGUGCCACAGCAGGUCUGUGCCAGAACCUUGGCUCACAUGAAGCAUUCCUCCCAAGGCAAACCUCUGCAUGAACCUCUGAGCACUGGGCAUAUUCUAGGAGAAAAAGUUGCACGUUCCCUGGUCCUGCCUGAGCCAAAUGCUGAAGUGUGUUUGUGAUGGUCGCUGGUUUGGUGGAGAGGCUGCAGCUGGGUGGAGUGGGGAACGUUGGAAAGCAAAUGGGAGGGCAGAGAAGGGAAUAGCUCAAGCAAGGUGGUUCCCACAUCGUGUUUUCACUGAAGACAUCUGUCUUAGCUGGUAUUUGAUUUCUUUGAAAGCUCUCCAAACCACUGCGAGCAACGAGCAAGGGGGUUUCACCUCAUUUGGGGGCUUCUACACUUCCCAGCUGUAAGUUUGCUGCAUCAAUUAAUGCUGUAACAGGGUACUAGAAAACAUCGGGGGCCACUGUUAUGAGGCCAAAGACUCUGGGUAUUACCCGUAGAAAAACAUGAUAAUGAAGUUAAAGCUGACUUGGAACUUGC